GACAGAGGUGCCGAGCGUUAGGCGGAAUCACUGGGCUUAAAGCGUGUGUAGGCGGGUCGUUAAGUGUCUUGUGAAAUCCCACCGCUCAACGGUGGAACCGCUGGGCAUACUGGCGAUCUUGAGCAGUCCAGGGGCGAGCGGAACAAGCGGUGGAGCGGUGAAAUGCGUAGAUAUCGCUUGGAACGCCGACGGUGAAAACAGCUCGCUGGGGACUCGCUGACGCUGAGACACGGAAGCCAGGGGAGCGAACGGG
rnacentral:rRNA from 1 species